rnacentral:rRNA from 1 species
UUUCAUGGAGAGUUUGAUCCUGGCUCAGGACGAACGCUGGCGGCGUGCCUAAUACAUGCAAGUCGAGCGGACAGAUGGGAGCUUGCUCCCUGAUGUCAGCGGCGGACGGGUGAGUAACACGUGGGUAACCUGCCUGUAAGACUGGGAUAACUCCGGGAAACCGGGGCUAAUACCGGAUGCUUGAUUGAACCGCAUGGUUCAAUUAUAAAAGGUGGCUUUUAGCUACCACUUACAGAUGGACCCGCGGCGCAUUAGCUAGUUGGUGAGGUAACGGCUCACCAAGGCAACGAUGCG